rnacentral:lncRNA from 1 species
GUUUAUUGAACUGUACCAGCAAAAGCUUCAGUAAGAGAUAUUUGCAGUAAUGAACUCAGCAAAGCAAAGAAACAAGAAUAAAUAUGCAGUAUUGACGUAUCCCUCUUCAGGGAGGGGGUUUUGAGAACACGGAGUCUGCAGAUUCAAUUUUUCCUGGGCUCUGAUGACUUUGUGGUAGGGACAGGUGAAGUGAAACCUGAGUACGGUAACUCUAGCCAGAGAGUGAGAUAGAAAUAAACAAUAUUAUUCCUGGAAAGAAGGGAUAGUAGCUGUCCCUCUGCCAAAGUGCACUCCAGUCCCGAGCCUAUUAGCUGCAGAUUCCUUUCUGGGCUCCACCCUCAGUGUCAGGGCAACAGUCCCGGGUCUUGACGUCAAAGCUGCCUUUUGUUUGCUGCACAGAUUUCCCCUUGUGCAGGUUUAGCAGAUUGAGGCAGUGCAGCAGAUGAGCAGAGAGCUCUGCUCUGGCCAGAUCUGCAAACUCCACACAAGCCUCCAAGGAAAGUCCCCUCCCCACAUUACUAAUAUCAACCAUUCCAGAGGGAAAAAACCAACAGUUCAGUAUGUCUAAUUUGUUUUACAUCUGAGCCACCCUUUUGCUAACCUUUCAUUCGAUUUGUGCCCUGGGUUUUAUCUUGCAUUAUUUAGACUGCAAGUGCUGCCAAGCAAGGACUUUUACCAUAAGACAAAGCUGUAAAACGACUUCCUUAGCUAUUCCAUAUAUUAGGAGAAAAUCCUUACAGACAUGGGGGAUAAACUCCCAGUGUUCCAGAGAGCUCCUGGGGGGUGGAAUGUCAGAGGGGGAAUAAAGAAUGAGACCAGGUUUUAUCACAGAAUCCUUCCACCUCUCCAAACCUAGGACAGUUAGAGCCAAACUGGUUGUUUUCCAAAGUCACAAGAGCAGUCUCCUCUACUCUCCUGCAGGGUGACCUGGACACACACAAAGGGUUCCUUGUCCUUUCCAUCUACCUGACUCCCUGCCCCCAAACACAAGCUACCCAGUGGGAGCAUAGGGGAAGAGGGACCUGCAGUAGAACUUGCUGUGUUAGGUCAGGCUUUCCCUGCUAAAAGCCCUUUAAGAUACACCUAUGGCAGUCACUGUAGGAUUACACCAUUCCUAAUAUAAAUCUGACACUUUAUUAGAACCUAUAGCUUUUCUUUAAAAAAAGUCAAUAAACAGGAGACAAAAAAAUUAAAAAGGAGCAGUCACAUAAUGCACACAGAAAUGGGCACAGUAAACACCUGCUACAGAUUUCCACGAGGAGAUGCCAGUCACCUCACAUGAUCACAGUAAAGAUCUGACUGUGUCUGUAACCCCUCCUUUCCACAGCAGUGAACGUGAAAUUGGCUGGAACAUUCCACAACACAGCUCUUCUAUUCCCCUGCCACUGAGCAUCUCCAGACUAUCUCCCUCAACCUAAAGCAGAGGCCAAAGCUCUUACUCCUGUUCUCCAGACACAAAUGUGCUCAGAGGCUCUCCUUGUUCUCCCUUCUGAAAGCUGGGAAACCUUUGGUAUAUCUCAGUCUUGUAAGAUACUCCAGCUGGUGCUUUGUGAUUCUUGCAGGAGUGCUGUUACUGGCUUACACACCUGUAACUGAGUGAAAAACAUGACUAUUACCUCUGGCUUAGGCAUGGGGCCAGCACUGCUGGGAUGCAGCAUUCCUGGGCUAUUAGUAGCUAACAAGAUGAGCAGCAUUUGCUCCUGCUAAUGAACACAAAAAACAACCCAAAAAAACCCCACCAAAAACAAAACCAAAACCAACAACAAAACCCACCAAACUAACAAAAAAAAAAAAAAAACCCAAACCCAACUUUCUACGAUCUCUGCUGUCAGAACAACAGAAAAUUCUAUGCCCAACCCAGGCCAAAGCAUUUCAUCCCUUGUAGAGCAUUGUUUUGGGAGGCAGAAUGCAAUCCUGGUGUUCAAUAGAGUCUGGUUGGCCAUGUUCUUCUUCUGCACAGAAAGCCAAACUUCCCAAAAAACUAACCCACAUCCAGUUCCCUGGGACAAGCUAUUCAUUGACUAGUGUGAGUAAAUCUUCAUUCAAAAAGACACAUCUUGGGUAGGAGGAGGGAGUCCUCACACAGUCACACUUCCCUCCCUUGCCAAGCUACAAGCACACAAACACAGGAACUGGGUGUCACAUUUAUUCUCUUUUCAGCUCCUUCCAGUGUUUUCAGAGGAGUCCUCUGACACAGAAUGGAAAGGCCUGCUCAUUUCUACUUGCCCUCUACCAGCAGGGAGACACAAGCUGGAGGUCAGGAGGGUGAUUUCCUACUACUGACACACAGGUGGUGUUGGGGGCAGCUGUCAGAAGUCCAGCAGCAGCUAGAGCCUGAUUCAAAGCUCUGCAGGUCAGUGCUACACCAAACCAGGCUUUGACUUUCUAUCAGCAUGUCCUAGAAACCCACACUGCCAGGCAGGUCACAGUGGAGAUAAGCAGGACUUCUGAGACCUCAUAUGGAUCCUUUCUCUUAUCAUAGAGGCUUGACAAAAUUGAGCCCUGGGGAUGACUGGCAACCUGAACUUAUUUAUGUCACAAAGUGCACUCUAGAACUAGUCUGUGAUGCAGAGAGAGAGUAUUUCCAGCUGCUGAAGAGGCAGCUAUUUCAGUAGCUCAGCAAUCCCCUCCCACUCCACUGAAGUAGGUGAGCAAGUACACAAGGCUUAUUCCAAGUGCUCUCAGUGCAGGAGUCAGCUCUCAAGAACACAAUAGAACAAAUGCUCAUAGUUGGGGUGUCAGGGUGGUGCAGCUGCAUGGACUGGUUAUUGGCCUUCAGGCUGCUGAUCCCACACAGAGUCAUAUUUUCCAAGCCCCCUGUCACUACAAGAGCUGAGAAUAUGCUCAAAUAAUAAAAGAAAAAAGAAAUCAUAUCCUGAACUGUCUCAUGACAAGAAAGAUUUAUAAAUCCAGAGGCCUGAAGGAAAACAUCAACUAUGCAGAGAAUCCCCUGAUGCUGGAGACUAAGAGCUGGCACCAGCCUAAACUAAGAGCCAGCAGCAAGGCAAGCCCACCAGCAUUGGUUAGAAUAUCUGGUUUCAGUAAUCAGCAGGCUCCUGGGCAGGAUGUGUGCCACAGCAGCUCUGCCCACUCCCAACUCCUACCCCUUCUCUCCAUUUCAGACUCAGAUGAUGCAAGAACAAAUUGCCAGACACAGGAGGAUGAUCACUGGUGCAUUUAAUUUGUAGAUAUAUGAUGAUGUAUUUCCAAAUGAAAUAAUAGAAACCAGCCAUGUAACUGAAAGUGCUCAGCUACAUCCCAGCUGUCUCAGGGAGCCAAACAAAAUCCUUACCACCUCCUGAGCAGUGAGUGGCUCUCCAUACACUGCCUGCUGAGCAGAACUGCCUUCCCACCCCAGCUCAGAACACACAAAGAGCACGGUCAGGCACUUCCAUGGCUGCCGUGACUUCCCUUUCUCUGUCGCUUUUCUUUUUUUCUUGCGAUGUUGGUGAAAAGACCUAAGGAAACAGGAGACCUGGGAGGAAGUGAGUCAGGAAACCUGUACCAUGUUUCAGGGGAAGUGUGACUCAGAGUGCUGGGAGCAGAGCUCGCCUCUCCCUGGUGCCCUGGAGGAGGUGAUAAGAUUGUGUAAUCCCCAAGAUAACUUGCUGCACAUCCUAAUUCUGCUGAUCCUCCCAGGGGAGGGGUGCUUCUGCCGAGUACUGUACAUUAGCUGAUUUCUUAGAAUAAACUGUGACAGCUCCCUGUGAGCUCACUGCAUGGGAGGGGGUGCUGGGCUCCCUGCCUGCACUCUCAGAAGAACCAGGAGCAACAGAAACACCAAAUUUGUCAAGAGCACAGCAAAGGCCUGGCAAAGCUUGUUUGGUCUGUUUGUUCUUCUCGGGGACAAGAGUACUUGACAGACACAAAGGAACCAGCUAUAAAGUGGAGGAAAGAUAAGAAAGAGAGAAUUUAAGAAAGAACGGCACAAAUGUGGUGGACACAAGAAGAGCAGUCUGCGCUGCUCAGGACCGGGGAGGGGACAGUCAGGAGCACAAGAUCCUGGAGGAAAGAAGCCAAGAGUGCAGGCCAAGCAAAGGAAAAGAGAAGGGCAGGGAGGAUGGAGAUAAGAUCAAUGGGAGAGUCCCUUAGGAGUGAUGAGGCAAGUGCAGCGAUAACAAGUGCCCCUGGGAUGGAGACAGCAAAGAAACCUCACACUGAGGGAAAGAGGCCUCUGUCCCUUCUGAGUUCUCAGUGCACACCAGAGCCAGAGCUGGUAUUUGUGGGUCUCUGCUCACCUCUAAGUGCCAUUCCUGAAAAACAACUGAAGCCUGAAGCCAGGGGAUGCAACAAGAUACAAACCAUCUCCUUUCCCAGCCACAGAAGAUUCUCUCUCUUCCCCCCUGGCAGAGCAGGGCCAGCCCUCCCAAGCUGUGCCACUGCAGCAAAGGCUCUAGGACACCAGUAGGCUUCCAGAAAGUUCUGCUGUACAAGUAAAGCUCUCAGGCACCUUUAGGAGCUUGACGGUAGUUGAACUCUCAAACUCCAAGCCUCCAAGCUUUCUGGAGACCUACAAAAUUGUUUGGCAAAGAAGCUACUGAAUAUGACUGAAGAGAGAAGGAGGCAACAGUGAUCAAACCACCCAUUUCAGAGACUUUUACCCCCAGGUGAGAGGCAGUAAAGCUGCUGGCUGAGACUCAGAAGACCUAGAGUCUAUUUCUCUUUCUUCCCAGACCUGUCAGCUAUCCUGAGACAAACCACUUGUGCACCCUGGACUUCCAGGCCCCUUUUCCCCCUUUAUUUGCCUCACUGGUAUCAAAUACAAGCUUCCUGGGAGAUGGCUUCCUGUAACAUUAGCUGCAUCCCAAAUUGCAAAGUGCUGAAUGGGUCUGUAAUGGAAAUGAUAAUGAGCACUUUAUGUUUCAAGCCUCAUAUUUCUAGGAAAAUUGUCACAGCUCAUAUGACCAAACAUCCCAGGACCAGAAAGCCCGGGAAGAACUGUGGACAGGACCUGCGUGCAGGGGAACCACUGACCCUGCAACUUCUGGUUACAAAAGAGGAACAUUUUUAUCAUAAAAUGUAAAUCAAAAUUCUCAUUCUUCACCUGUGAAAAUUCUAGACUGCUAGAAAACAAAUUUGUUGGAAAUUUGUGAGUGUUAUCAUAGUUUCAUUCCUUAUUUCACUGUGAUCAGCCUGUUACUCAGAAAUAGGAUACUGCAUUUUAUUCUUGUGGGUGGUAUCUGCAAGGCCACAGUGCAAGGACCAAACCCAUCACUAUCAUGCCUGGUAAGUGUGUGUUAGUUAUCCUGCAAACACUCACCCACCUUGUGAGCACAACAUAGGGAUGGAGCUGUGUCCAGACAAGCAGAUGCACACAGAUUUCUGUUUGAUGAUGUUUUGUGGGCCUGACUCAGCUGCUGACACCUCCUCACCACACAGGAUGCCUGCAGUCUUUUGCAGCAGCUCUGUUUUUCCCUUUGAAUCUGUGCUAAAAGGAAAAUAUCAGGUGGAAGCUAUUUUUCUAGUUAGUGUUUUUCAAGAUGCUGCCUGGCCUAGAUCAAUUCCAAGAACUGAGGUAGUCAAACAAAGAAACCCUUACAGGCUGAUCAGCAGCAUGAGCAUUGCUGCUCUGGCACCUUCCCACGCUGUAAGAAGAAUGAGCACAAACCAAAAUAAGACCACACACAAGAGAAGGGCUGAGCUCUGCACUCAGGGAACUGCCAGUGGCAGCACCUCCACCCCCUCUGCACACCCACAGCUCCAGCACUGUGCCCCUGCUUCCCUGGAAUACACACUCCAGGAGAAAGCUGCUGCUCCAGGCAGCUGCCCAAAGCACAGCAGGUGUGGGAGCUGCAGGUGGCCUUGGUCAUCCAGCUCUUUCCCAGAGGCCAGACCAUCACCAGGGAUCACCCCACAGCCUCUUCCCUGCCUCACAGGACUAUGAGAUGCUGGCUCUGAAGCCUGAAAUUCAACUGAAGAGUAUUGUCCCUUUAGGGGACAGGAUGGGGCAAAGCUGAGUCUUGUAGGAGCCAAGUGCUUCAGCCCUUCUUCCUUCACCCUCCAUUAAAGAGAAAAAAAAAAAAAAAAAAAA